rnacentral:rRNA from 1 species
UGAACGCUGGCGGCAGGCCUAAUACAUGCAAGUCGAACGGCUCUUCGGAGCAGUGGCGGACGGGUGAGUAACGCGUGGGAAUGUGCCCUUUGGUACGGAACAACACAGGGAAACUUGUGCUAAUACCGUAUGUGCCCUUCGGGGGAAAGAUUUAUCGCCAUUGGAGCAGCCCGCGUUGGAUUAGGUAGUUGGUGAGGUAAAGGCUCACCAAGCCUACGAUCCAUAGCUGGUCUGAGAGGAUGACCAGCCACACUGGGACUGAGACACGGCCCAGACUCCUACGGGAGGCAGCAGUAGGGAAUCUUGCGCAAUGGGCGAAAGCCUGACGCAGCCAUGCCGCGUGUUUGAUGAAGGUCUUAGGAUUGUAAAAUACUUUCACCGGGGAAGAUAAUGACGGUACCCGGAGAAGAAGCCCCGGCUAACUUCGUGCCAGCCGCCGCGGUAAGAC